rnacentral:tRNA from 1 species
GCCCCCAUAGUCUAAUGGACAGAACGGGAGUUUCCUAAACUCUAAAUCCAGGUUCGAAUCCUGGUGGGGGCA